rnacentral:rRNA from 1 species
GUUUGAUCCUGGCUCAGAACGAACGCUGGCGGCGUGCCUAACACAUGCAAGUCGAACGUGAUCCGCCCUUCGGGGUGGUGAGAGUGGCGCACGGGUGAGUAACGCGUGGAUAAUCUGCCCGAGGAUUUGGGAUAACAUCUCGAAAGGGGUGCUAAUACCGAAUAAGCCCACGGGGUCUACGGAUCUUGCGGGAAAAAGGGGGGGACCUUCGGGCCUCCUGUCCUUGGAUGAGUCUGCGUACCAUUAGCUAGUUGGUGGGGUAAUGGCCUACCAAGGCGACGAUGGUUAGCUGGUCUGAGAGGAUGAUCAGCCACACUGGAACUGAGACACGGUCCAGACUCCUACGGGAGGCAGCAGUGGGGAAUUUUGCGCAAUGGGGGAAACCCUGACGCAGCAACGCCGCGUGGGUGAUGAAGGCCUUCGGGUCGUAAAGCUCUGUCUGGAGGGAAGAAAUGAUUGGGAGCUAAUACCUCUUGAUCUUGACGGUACCUCUGAAGGAAGCACCGGCUAACUCCGUGCCAGCAGCCGCGGUAAUACGGAGGGUGCAAGCGUUGUUCGGAAUUAUUGGGCGUAAAGCGCGUGCAGGCGGUCUUUUAAGUCUGAUGUGAAAGCCCCGGGCUCAACCUGGGAAGUGCAUUGGAAACUGGGAGGCCUGAGUACGGGAGAGGAGAGUGGAAUUCCUAGUGUAGGAGUGAAAUCCGUAGAUAUUAGGAGGAACACCGGUGGCGAAGGCGGCUCUCUGGACCGAUACUGACGCUGAGACGCGAAAGCGUGGGUAGCAAACAGGAUUAGAUACCCUGGUAGUCCACGCCGUAAACGAUGAGUACUAGGUGUUGCGGGUAUU